AUUAUUAUCAGAAGGGGAGUAUUUGGCCUACACAGAGAAGAACUUGGAGUUGAAAUCAUGCUAAUGAAGCAACACAAUGUAAUCGGUGAGUGGUUGCUGCGUGGUAGAAGCUUGGCUCAUCAGAAAGUUCCAGCCUCCAACCACAGUUGAAACGGCCCACAUCCAUUGGAGCAAAGAAAAGAGGAAUUGGGACUGAAGUCUGGACCUUGUGACUUCCAUGACAGUGUUUCUUCUGCCUGCACCAGAGAGCCAAGGAGACCCCAGGACCCUGGAGGUCUGAGAGCUUUCUCAGAACUGUCUAACUUUUCAGCCACAAGGUAGGUUUAAGGAGAUAUGAUAAUGUGGCCAGCUCCUCGGUGGCUUCUAACCUGUGAUAUUCACUUCUUAAACCCUGACCCUUUCUGAACCUGACUCAUUCAUUCACAGAAAUCUGUUGAAGGGCCACUUUCCUCUGUUCACAGCUUUGGGUGACAGCUAGAGAGAGAAUUGGUAAGGCUAUGAUAGACUUAGGGCUUAGAGAAGAGAAC
rnacentral:lncRNA from 1 species